rnacentral:rRNA from 1 species
UACGUAGGGUGCAAGCGCUAUCCGGAAUUAUUGGGCGUAAAGAGCUCGUAGGCGGUUUGUCGCGUCUGCCGUGAAAACCCGAGGCUCAACCUCGGGCCUGCAGUGGGUACGGGCAGACUAGAGUGCGGUAGGGGAGAUUGGAAUUCUUGGUGUAGCGGUGGAAUGCGCAGAUAUCAGGAGGAACACCGAUGGCGAAGGCAGAUCUCUGGGCCGUAACUGACGCUGAGGAGCGAAAGCGUGGGGAGCGAACAGG